rnacentral:rRNA from 1 species
CAGCAGCCGCGGUAAUACGAAGGGUGCAAGCGUUAAUCGGAAUUACUGGGCGUAAAGCGUGCGUAGGCGGUUUGUUAAGACAGAUGUGAAAUCCCCGGGCUCAACCUGGGAACUGCAUUUGUGACUGGCAAGCUAGAGUGUGGCAGAGGGGGGUGGAAUUCCGCGUGUAGCAGUGAAAUGCGUAGAUAUGCGGAGGAACACCGAUGGCGAAGGCAGCCCCCUGGGCCAACACUGACGCUCAUGCACGAAAGCGUGGGGAGCAAACAGGAUUAGAUACCCGCGUAGUCCCUGUCUCUUAUAC